rnacentral:rRNA from 1 species
AUUGAACGCUGGCGGCAGGCCUAACACAUGCAAGUCGAACGAGUGGCGGACGGGUGAGUAAUGUCUGGGAAACUGUACGAUGGAGGGGGAUACCUACUGGAAACGGUAGUUAUUAACGCACACCAUCGGAUGUGCACAGAUGGGAUUAGCUAGUAGGUGGGGUAAUGGCUCACCUAGGCGACGAUCCCUAGCUGGUAUGAGAGGAUGACCAGCCACACUGGAACUGAGACACGGUCCAGACUCCUACGUGAGGAAGCAGUGGGGAAUAUUGCACAAUGGGCGCAAGCCUGAUGCAGCCAUGCCGCGUGUAUGAAGAAGGCCUUCGGGUUGUAAAGUACUUUCAGCGAGGAGGCGUUACUCGCAGAAGAAGCACCGGCUAACUCCGUGCCAGCAGCCGCGGUAAUAC